rnacentral:rRNA from 1 species
CCUGCCAUUAGGCAGCUUCUUGUGGAAUGUAAAAAGUUCUACGAAUAAGGACUGGGUAAGGCUAGUGCCAGCCGCCGCGGUAAUACUAGCGGUCCAAGUCGCAGCCAUUCUUAUUGGGUCUAAAACAUCCGUAGCUUGCUUGAUAAGUUUUCUGUGAAAUCUCAUAUCUCAAGUAUAAGAAUUGUGGAAAAUACUGUCAAGCUAGAGACCGGGAGACGUAAAGAGUACGUCUAAAGUAGCGGUAAAAUGUGUUGAUCUUAGGCGGACUGACGAUAGCGAAGGCACUUUACGAGAACGGUUCUGACAGUAAGGGAUGAAGGCUAGGGGCGCAAAACGGAUUAGAUACCCGUGUAGUCCUAGCAGUAAACACUGCACACUAAACCUUGUGAUCUCUUCGAGAGAUUGCAGGGCUGCAGGGAAGCCGAAGAGUGUGCUACCUGGGAAGUAUAGUCGCAAGGCUGAAACUUAAAGGAAUUGGCGGGGAGACACUACAACGGGUGACGCGUGCGGUUCAAUUAGAUUAUACACCGUGAACCUCACCAGGAGCGACAGCAGAAUGAAGGUCAGUCUAAAGGGCUUACCUGACACGCUGAGAGGGGUUGCAUGGCCGACGUCAGCCUGUGCUGUGAGGCGAUCUGUUAAAUCAGAUAACAGGCAAGACCC